rnacentral:rRNA from 1 species
GACGAACGCUGGCGGCGUGCUUAACACAUGCAAGUCGAACGGAAAGGCCUGCUUUCCCUUGUGGAUUGCGGGUGCUCGAGUGGCGAACGGGUGAGUAACACGUGAGUGAUCUGCCCCCAACUUGGGUAUAAGCCUGGGAAACUGGGUCUAAUUCCCGAUAGGACUGCAGGGUGGUGCCUGUGGUGGAAAACGAUUUUCUAGUGGUUGGGGAUGAGCUCGCGGCCUAUCAGCUUGUUGGUGGGGUAAUGGCCUACCAAGGCGGCGACGGGUAGCCGGCCUGGGAGGGUGGACGGCCACAUUGGGACUGAGAUACGGCCCAGACUCCUACGGGAGGAAGCAGUGGGGAAUAUUGCACAAUGGGCGGAAGCCUGAUGCAGCGAGGCCGCGUGGGGGAUGACGGCCUUCGGGUUGUAAACUCCUUUCGACCGCGAGGAAGCCACCUGGUUGGAAGGGUGGUGACGGUAGUGGUAGAAGAAGCACCGGCUAACUACGUG